rnacentral:rRNA from 1 species
GACAGAGGGUGCAAACGUUGCUCGGAAUACUGGGCGUAAAGCGCGUGUAGGCGGUCACGCAAGUCAGGUGUGAAAGCCCAGGGCUCAACCCUGGAAGUGCACAUGAUACUACGUGGCUGGAGUACUGAAGAGGAGAGCGGAAUUCCCGGUGUAGAGGUGAAAUUCGUAGAUAUCGGGGAGGAACACCAGUGGCGAAGGCGGCUCUCUGGGCAGAUACUGACGCUGAGACGCGAAAGCGUGGGUAGCAAACAGG